rnacentral:rRNA from 1 species
AUUGAACGCUGGCGGCAGGCCUAACACAUGCAAGUCGAGCGGCAGCGGAAAGUAGCUUGCUACUUUGCCGGCGAGCGGCGGACGGGUGAGUAAUGUCUGGGAAACUGCCUGAUGGAGGGGGAUAACUACUGGAAACGGUAGCUAAUACCGCAUGACCUCGAAAGAGCAAAGUGGGGGACCUUCGGACCUCACGCCAUCGGAUGUGCCCAGAUGGGAUUAGCUAGUAGGUGAGGUAAUGGCUCACCUAGGCGACGAUCCCUAGCUGGUCUGAGAGGAUGACCAGCCACACUGGAACUGAGACACGGUCCAGACUCCUACGGGAGGCAGCAGUGGGGAAUAUUGCACAAUGGGCGCAAGCCUGAUGCAGCCAUGCCGCGUGUGUGAAGAAGGCCUUAGGGUUGUAAAGCACUUUCAGCGAGGAGGAAGGCACCAUACUUAAUACGUGUGGUGAUUGACGUUACUCACAGAAGAAGCACCGGCUAACUCCGUGCCAGCAGCCGCGGUAAUACGGAGGGUGCAAGCGUUAAUCGGAAUUACUGGGCGUAAAGCGCACGCAGGCGGUUUGUUAAGUCAGAUGUGAAAUCCCCGCGCUUAACGUGGGAACUGCAUUUGAAACUGGCAAGCUAGAGUCUUGUAGAGGGGGGUAGAAUUCCAGGUGUAGCGUUGCAAUGCUUAUAAGAUCUGGGAGGAAUACCGGUGGCGAAAGCGGCCCCCUGGACAACAACUGAUCUCAGGUGCAAAAAUGGGGGGGACAAUUACG